CCCUUAGAUGUCCGGGGCCGCACGCGCGCUACACUGAAGGAAUCAGCGUGGCUUUCUCCCUGACCCGAAAGGGUUGGGAAACCCGUUGAAUCUCCUUCGUGAUAGGGAUUGGGGCUUGAAAUUGUUCCCCAUGAGCGAGGAAUUCCCAGUAAGCGCGAGUCAUAAGCUCGCGUUGAUUACGUCCCUGCCCUUUGUACACACCGCCCGUCGCUACUACCGAUUGAAUGGUUUAGUGAGAUCUCCGGAUUGGCUCUGUAGGUCCCGCAAGGGAUUUAUUAGUAGCCAAGAAGCUGCUCAAACUUGAUCAUUUAGAGGAAGUAAAAGUCGUAACA
rnacentral:rRNA from 1 species